GGAGAAGUACCCAAGCGGUAAGGGGCUCCCCUGCUAAGGGAGUAGGUCGGUAAACCGGCGCGAGAGUACAAAUCUCUCCUUCUCCGCCA
rnacentral:tRNA from 1 species